rnacentral:rRNA from 1 species
CCCUACGGGGCGCAGCAGGCGCGAAAACUUCGCACUGUGCGAAAGCACGACGAGGGAAUCCCAAGUGCUGGCUCGUUAGAGUCAGCUGUUUCUCUGUCUAAAAAACAGAGAGAGUAAGGGCUGGGUAAGACGGGUGCCAGCCGCCGCGGUAAUACCUGCAGCCCAAGUGGUGACUGUUAUUAUUGGGCCUAAAACGUCCGUAGCCGGUUUAGUAAAUGCCUGGGUAAAUCGUACGGCUUAACCGUACGAAGUCCGGGUAGACUGCUGAACUUGAGAUCGGGAGAGGCUAGAGGUACUCCUGGGGUAGAGGUGAAAUCCUGUAAUCC